UUCCAGGUAGCUUAAUGGUAAAGCACCCAAAUGGCUAUUGGAGGAUCUGGGUUCAAGUUCCAGCUCGGAUG
rnacentral:tRNA from 1 species